rnacentral:rRNA from 1 species
UACGAAGGGGGGCUAGCGUUGUUCGGAAUUACUGGGCGUAAAGCGCGCGCAGGCGGUCUUCCAAGUCAGUGGUGAAAAGCCCGGAGCUCAACUCCGGAACUGCCAUUGAAACUGUUGGACUUGAGUACGAGAGAGGUGAGUGGAAUUCCCAGUGUAGAGGUGAAAUUCGUAGAUAUUGGGAAGAACACCGGUGGCGAAGGCGGCCAACUGGACGAAUACUGACGCUGAGACUCGAAAGCGUGGGGAGCAAACAGG